CAAUAUCAUUGUAACUCUGUAAAGACAGGCAGAAUACAGACUUGCAAUAAGUACACUGAGGUAGGUCGUAGCACAAUAUCAUUGUAUCUCUGUAGAAACAGGCAGGAUACAGAUUUACAAUAAGUACACUGAGGUAGGUCGUAGCAAAAUAUCAUUGUAAAUCUGUAGAGACAGGCAGGAUACUGUUACAGGCUUACAAUAAGUACACACAGGUAGAUGGUAGCACAAUAUCAUUGUAAAUCUGUAGAGACAGGCAGGAUACUGUUACAGACUUACAAUAAGUACACUCAGGUAGAUGGUAGCACAAUAUCAUUGUAAAUCUGUUGAGACAGGCAGGAUACUGUUACAGGCUUACAAUAAGUACACUUAGGUAGAUGGUAGCACAAUAUCAUUGUAAAUCUGUAGAGACAGGCAGGAUACUGUUACAGGCUUACAAUAAGUACACUUAGGUAGAUGGUAGCACAAUAUCAUUGUAAAUCUGUUGAGACAGGCAGGAUACUGUUACAGGCUUACAAUAAGUACACUUAGGUAGAUGGUAGCACAAUAUCAUUGUAAAUCUGUAGAGACAGGCAGGAUACAGAUUUACAAUAAGUACACUUAGGUAGGUGGUAGCACAAUAUCAUUGUAAAUCUGUAGAGACAGGCAGGAUACAGAUUUACAAUAAGUACACUGAGGUAGGUCAUAGCACAAUAUCAAGACAGGUAGGAUACAGACUUACAGUAAGUACACUGAGGUAGGUCGUAGCACAGUAUCAUUGUAACUCAAACAAUAUCAUUGUACUGAUCUCUAGAGACAGGCAAGAUACAGAUUUACAGCAAGUACAGCUAGGUAGGUCGUACCACAAUAUCAUUACAGGCAGAAUACAGACUUACAGUAAGUACACUGAGGUAGGUCGUAGCACAGUAUCAUUGUAACUCAAACAAUAUCAUUGUACUGAUCUCUAGAGACAGGCAAGAUACAGAUUUACAGCAAGUACAGCUAGGCAGGUCGUACCACAAUAUCAUUACAGGCAGAAUACAGACUUACAGUAAGUACACUGAGGUAGAUCGAAGCAAAAUAUCAUUGUAGAUCUCUAGAGGACUCACAAGCCAUUUCAUUAUUAAAGUAUUAUGCUUUUGCUUUUAUAUGUAAAUUGUAGGGAUGGCAACCAGUUAACCGAGUACUUGCUUGGUGUUCCGAGUAUCAAUUACGAAAUUUAAUAAUCAAGUACUUGAAAAAAUAGAUAAAAAAUAAAAGAAAAAAGACUAGAAACAGGUCAAUUUUAACACGGCCGUUUAAAUUUACUAAAUUGCGACAGUUAAUUAGUUGUAAGGUCAGGGUGGAAUGCUAUUCUUAUUGUAAUCAAACAAUAAAUAACAAUGCUUCCUUCAUUGUAACAACUUAAUUUUACAACAGUUAUUUUUUUGCUGUAUUUACUUUAUUGUUUACUAUGUUUGUGCGUAAAUCUUUAUGUUUAAACUUUAGCCUGCUGGCGGCAAGUGAUUCUGCCAAUGCAGGCACGUCCGUGCAGGCUGAUCAUGGUCUGCACUGUUUGCUAUUUGAUCAGUAAAUUUUCAUUGAACACCCCUUCAAAUAAAAAAUUGUAUUGCCCAAAUUGAAUGAUUUUUGAAAGUUAGCAGGCUAGAGGUAAUGUAUUGAUGUGUU